rnacentral:lncRNA from 1 species
UUUUUUUUUUUUUAUGCAAAAUCAGGCAGAAUCAGAAUAAUCUGAGCUGACGAUGACUGGGUGGACUCUAAGUGAAUCUCAUUAGCUAAGCCUUGGCCUUGUCUAAAUUUCUCUUGUGGCUUUGCUUACCACCUUGGUUUUUCUUUUCUGAUGCUUUGAUGUUUAUUCUAGCACUCUCAAGUUAUUUUGUAAACAUUUACAUGGUGAUUAGUUAACCCAACAGACCAACCCUGGGAAGGCAGCCAGAGCCAGCAGCACCUUAAUAGAAAAACUGAUAAUUAGGAGAAAAGACCCUGGAGACUGGGAACCUGGACCAGAACGUUUCCAUUUCCCUGUAGUGAGUGGCCCCAGUAAAAAUCGAGGUCUGUGGCCCAGCUGUUUGGAUCCAUCUUCUGAGCCUGCCUAGUUCUGCUGAAACCCUUGGGAUGGUUGUUGGCUCUGUUUCAACUUGUCUUGUUUUGAACAGUUGUCUGUGGAAAGAAAGCAAAGCAGCCUAGAGCAGCCCUGCUGUGUUAUGGAAGGCUCAUUUAUUUUCAGGUCUGGCCAUGUUCAUCAUCCUAACAUACGUGUUUCCCAUGUUGUAAUGACUUGCCUUGUGACAUCACCUCUAAGUUAGAGUUUUCUGACCCAGGACUUGGUUUAGUUAAAGGUGUGCUUGUAAAUGUAGGAUGUUGGUUGCUAGGGACUGAGGGAGUGGGAAUGGGGAGUUGCUGAGCAGUGGGUACAGAGUUGCAGUCAGGCAAGAUGGAGAAGUUCUAGAGACCUGUACAGCAGUGUGCAUAGAGUGAAUAGUACAGAAUUGCACACUUAAAAUGUUGUUAAGAGGGUGGACUCCAUGUUAUGCGUUUUUUUUUUACCACAAUCAAAAAUUGUUGGCAAGAUCAAUACUUUUUUAAGGUGCUGCUUUUUAUAGUCAGGGGGGUGGUUCUGUGAGCCUUGUUUGAGAAGGCUGAGGUCACCCUCUCAAGGGUAUAUGUCUCGUCUGGCUUCCAUUGCAUCAUGGUGGAGGUACAUUCAAAUGUGAAGGUUUCAGGCUUUAGUUGGAAAACCCAACACAUUAAAAGUGAAUUAUUGGGGGAAUUCCUGUUGUGGCUCAGCGGAAAUGAAUCUGACUAGUGUCCAUGAGAACGCAGGUUCGAUCCCUGGCCUCGCUCAGUGAGUUAAGGAUCUGGCGUUGCCAUGAGCUAUGGUGUAGGUCGCAGACACGGCUUGGAUCCUGAGUUGCUGUGGCUGUGGUGUAGGCUGGCAGCUACAGCUCCAAUUGGACCCCUAGCCUGGGAACUUCCAUAUGCCAUGGGUGUGGCU